rnacentral:rRNA from 1 species
AGAGUUGAUUAUGGCUCAGGAUGAACGCUAGCUACAGGCUUAACACAUGCAAGUCGCGGGGCAGCACUGGGAUUGCUUGCAAUCCCGUGGUGGCGACCGGCGCACGGGUGAGUAACGCGUAUCCAACCUGCCCUGCAGUGGGGAACAGCCCGGCGAAAGUCGGAUUAAUGCCCCAUGGCGUCCUCGGCGGGCAUCUAAUGAGGACUAAAGGCUUCGGCCGCUGCGGGAUGGGGAUGCGUAGGAUUAGGCAGGCGGCGGGCGACGGCCCACGCGCCGACGAUCCUUAGGGGUUCUGAGAGGAAGGUCCCCCACACUGGUACUGAGACACGGACCAGACUCCUACGGGAGGCAGCAGUGAGGAAUAUUGGUCAAUGGGCGCGAGCCUGAACCAGCCAAGUAGCCGUGCAGGAAGACGGCCCUACGGGUUGUAAACUGCUUUUAUGCGGGGAUAAAGUGGGCUACGCGUAGCCCUUUGCAGGUACCGCACGAAUAAGGACCGGCUAAUUCCGUGCCAGCAGCCGC